rnacentral:lncRNA from 1 species
AGGUGAUCAGUGGCAGAAAGAGCGGAUGACGGAUGGGGACCAGCAGACAGUGAGGAGCUCAACAUAACAGGGAAAAGGAGCACAGGAUGCAGCUACUUAGAGGGUGUUGAUUGAAAACUUCGAUCUCCCCACCCCAUCACGGUUGAUUUGACGGAUUUCUCACCUCGUUCACAGAGAAAAUUUCAAUUAAGGCACAUGGAGACGGACCUCUACCUGCAAUGCCCCCCUUGCACUUGGACAGAACCAUGUGACUAUUUAUAAGCUAUGACACAUGAGCAGACAUGACAUGACGGGAUUGAUGGAGCAAUGACCUCAUCUUUUCUCCUGCCAAAUAUUAUGAAAGAGGACUCAAGUCACUCACCUGAGGGACACUGGGUGAAAGUCAGUAAUGAAGCUGAAAGGUCGCUAAAUGCUGGCAAUUCCUUCUAGAAUUUAAAAGCAUUAAGAUUUAAGUGUGGCUGACUGCCACGGUUACUACUUGAGACCGUCAUUACUAGACUGAAUGAAGAGACGAACAUAGAAAUGGUAACAAAAAACAAAAGAAACUGUUUUAAGGAAAGGCUAGCAUGGGGAAGAAGAGAGCUCCCUGCUUCUAGUGGUCCUCAUUCCAUCUUUGCAUUCAGAUUCAACUGGUUCAUGGUUCAUACUGGGGGAACAAGGUCCAUGGUUGGGAUCCAUGGGUCCCUCCAGUCUCCUGUUCAACGGUCGUACACACCUUGGGAGCACCCACUCGGUUUGUUCAUCUUCUGCAAAGAUGUAAGUAUACCCUCGUCCCCACGUUAGUAAAUCUA